AGCAGCCGCGGUAAUUCCAGCUCCAAUAGCGUAUAUUAAAGUUGUUGCAGUUAAAAAGCUCGUAGUUGAAUUUCGGGAUUGGCGCAUCGGUCGUGCCUCACGGGGUAUGAACUGGUGCAGUCAAUUUCUCACCUUCUGGAGAACCGCGAUGUCCUUAAUUGGAUGCCGCGGGGAACCAGGACCUUUACUUUGAAAAAAUUAGAGUGUUUAAAGCAGGCAUUUUUGCUUGAAUACAUUAGCAUGGAAUAAUAAAAUAGGACGGCAUGGUUCUAUUUUGUUGGUUUCUAGGACCACCGUAAUGAUUAAUAGGGAUAGUUGGGGGCAUUAGUAUUCAAUUGUCAGAGGUGAAAUUCUUGGAUUUAUUGAAGACUAACUACUGCGAAAGCAUUUGCCAAGGAUGUUUUCAUUAAUCAAGAACGAAAGUUAGGGGAUCGAAGACGAUCAGAUACCGUCGUAGUCUUAACCAUAAACUAUGCCGACUAGGGAUCGGAUGAUGUUAAUUUUUUAAUGACUCAUUCGG
rnacentral:ncRNA from 3 species